rnacentral:tRNA from 1 species
UUAUUGCUUUGGCAGAUUAGUGUAAUGAAUUUAGAGUUCAUAUAUGUAAUAUAAUUACAAGUA